UCCAUGUGACUGACUCUGUGUGUUUGCAUAUGUGUCCUGCCUCUCUGCUCCCAGCUGUUAAGAGGUCAGUGUUGAUCAGUGGCUGUCCAGGCCUUUCAGAGCCACUGACACACCAGCAGCACAAUGAUGAUGUCACUGACUCUACUGCUGACCACCCUGGGACUCCUGGUUCACGGUUCCUCAGCAGAAAUCACCUUGACUCAGACUCCAGCAUCUCAGUCUGUUGUUCCAGGACAGACUGUCUCCAUCACAUGUAAAGCCAGUGCUGCUGUUGAUGAUGAUUUGCACUGGUACCUUCAGAAACCUGGAGAAGCUCCUAAACUCCUAAUUUAUAGUGCUGUAUCACGUGGGUCUGGAGUGUCUGACCGUUUCAGUGGAAGUGGAUAUGAUAUCGAUUUCACUCUGACCAUCAGCAGAGUUCAGGCUGAAGAUGCAGGAGUUUAUUACUGUCAACAUGAUGAGAACGUCCCGUUCACACAGUGA